rnacentral:rRNA from 1 species
UGGGGGAAUAUUGCACAAUGGGGGGAAACCCUGAUGCAGCGACGCCGCGUGAGCGAAGAAGUAUCUCGGUAUGUAAAGUUCUAUCAGCAGGGAAGAUAAUGACGGUACCUGACUAAGAAGCACCGGCUAAAUACGUGCCAGCAGCCGCGGUAAUACGUAUGGUGCAAGCGUUAUCCGGAUUUACUGGGUGUAAAGGGAGCGCAGGCGGUGCGGCAAGUCUGAUGUGAAAGCCCGGGCUCAACCCCGGUACUGCAUUGGAAACUGUCGUACUAGAGUGUCGGAGGGGUAAGUGGAAUUCCUAGUGUAGCGGUGAAAUGCAUAGAUAUUACGCAGAACUCCGAUUGCGAAGGCAGCUUUCCAGCGCGCUACUGACGCUGAGGCACGAAAGCGUGGGGAUCGAACAGGAUUAGAUACCCUGGUAGU